rnacentral:rRNA from 1 species
CGGAGGGUGAGUAACACGUGGGUAACCUGCCUGUAAGACUGGGAUAACUCCGGGAAACCGGAGCUAAUACCGGAUAGUUCCUUGAACCGCAGGUUCAGGAUGAAAGACGGUUUCGGCUGUCACUUACAGAUGGACCCGCGGCGCACUAGCUAGUUGGUGGGGUAAUGGCUCACCAAGGCGACGAUGCGUAGCCGACCUGAGAGGGUGAUCGGCCACACUGGGACUGAGACACGGCCCACACUCCUACGGGAGGCAGCAGUAGGGAAUCUUCCGCAAUGGACGAAAGUCUGACGGAGCAACGCCGCGUGAGUGAUGAAGGUUUUCGGAUCGUAAAGCUCUGUUGUUAGGGAAGAACAAGUGCGAGAGUAACUGCUCGCACCUUGACGGUACCUAACCAGAAAGCCACGGCUAACUACGUGCCAGCAGCCGCGGUAAUACGUACGUGGCAAGCGUUGUCCGGAAUUAUUGGGCGUAAAGGGCUCGCAGGCGGUUUCUUAAGUCUGAUGUGAAAGCCCCCGGCUCAACCGGGGAGGGUCAUUGGAAACUGGGAAACUUGAGUGCACAAUAGGGAGAGUGGAAUUCCACGUGUAGCGGUGAAAUGCGUAGAGAUGUGGAGAGAACACCAGUGGCGAAAGCGUACUCUCUGGUCUGUAACUGACUCUGAGGAGCGAAAGCGUGGGGAGCGAACAGGAUUAGAUACCCUGGUAGUCCACGCCCUAUACGAUGAGUGCUAGUGUUGUGGGGUUUCCGCCCCUUAGUGCUGCAGCUAACGCACUAAGCA